rnacentral:lncRNA from 1 species
GAGAAAAUUCAUAAAAAAUAUCAAAUGACAAAAUAAAAAAAAUAAAAAUCAGAAAUAGAAACUAGAAUUUAUUUGGAGACUAAUGCAAUUGGUCCCAUAAUUUUUGGAUUAAAAAUGAGAGACUUAUGAAUUUUUGAAAUAAAAGAAAUUAAAUCAGAAAAUUGAAAAUUCAAAAAAACCAGGAGCAUCAGAUCUGAGCUCAUUAAUUGAGCUGGCAGAUCAUGCGCUCCAGAUGUGCGCUCCCAACUC